rnacentral:rRNA from 1 species
GUGAGGAAUAUUGGUCAAUGGGCGAGAGCCUGAACCAGCCAAGUCGCGUGAAGGAAGAAGGAUCUAUGGUUCGUAAACUUCUUUUGCAGGGGAAUAAAGUGCGGGACGUGUCCUGUUUUGUAUGUACCCUGAGAAUAAGGAUCGGCUAACUCCGUGCCAGCAGCCGCGGUAAUACGGAGGAUCCGAGCGUUAUCCGGAUUUAUUGGGUUUAAAGGGUGCGUAGGUGGUUUGAUAAGUCAGCGGUGAAAGUUUGCAGCUUAACUGUAAAAAUGCCGUUGAAACUGUCGGACUUGAGUGUAAAUGAGGUAGGCGGAAUGCGUGGUGUAGCGGUGAAAUGCAUAGAUAUCACGCAGAACUCCGAUUGCGAAGGCAGCUUACUAAGCUACAACUGACACUGAAGCACGAAAGCGUGAGGAUCAAACAGGAUUAGAAACCCCAGUAGUCC